rnacentral:rRNA from 1 species
UGAGUAAUGUCUGGGAAACUGCCUGAUGGAGGGGGAUAACUACUGGAAACGGUAGCUAAUACCGCAUAACGUCUUCGGACCAAAGUGGGGGACCUUCGGGCCUCAUGCCAUCAGAUGUGCCCAGAUGGGAUUAGCUAGUAGGUGGGGUAAUGGCUCACCUAGGCGACGAUCCCUAGCUGGUCUGAAGAAUGACCACCCACACUGGAACUGAGACACGGUCCAGACUCCUACGGGAGGCAGCGGUGGGGAAUAUUGCACAAUGGGCGCAAGCCUGAUGCAGCCAUGCCGCGUGUAUGAAAAAAGGCCUUUCGGGUUGUAAAGUACUUUCAGCGAGGGAGGAAAGGCUUUAAGGGUUAAAUAACCCUUAGUGAUUUGACGUUUCUCCGCAAAAAAAGCACCCGGCUAACUCCCGUGCCAGCAGCCCGCGGGUAUUACGGAAGGGUGGCAAGCGUUAAUCGGAAAUUACUGGGGCGUAAAAGCGCAACCCGGGCGGCUUGUCAGGUCGGAUGGUGA